UACGGAGGGUGCAAGCGUUGUUCGGAUUUAUUGGGCGUAAAGCGCGUGUAGGCGGUCUUUUAAGUCUGAUGUGAAAGCCCCGGGCUCAACCCGGGAAGUGCAUUGGAAACUGGGAGACUUGAAUACGGGAGAGGGUAGUGGAAUUCCUAGUGUAGGAGUGAAAUCCGUAGAUACUAGGAGGAACACCGGUGGCGAAGGCGGCUACCUGGACCGAUAUUGACGCCGAGACGCGAAAGCGUGGGGAGCAAACAGG
rnacentral:rRNA from 1 species